rnacentral:misc_RNA from 1 species
CGAACAGAAAAGAAACCGACCCUCUCUUCACACAAGUCUGUGCAGCGCCGCGCUGCUGCUGCUGCACCAACGCCACGUGGGCAUCGUUAGAGACUCUUCCUCCCUCCCUCUCGCUUCUUAUUAGAUUCACACCGUUGUUCUUACUGAUAUCUUCUUUGUCUUCUAUUGUGUUUUGUGUCGGUGCCGGUGCCUUCGUGUGUGUGUGUGUGUUUGUGCGCGCAUUUGUGCUAGACCACUAGAUCUCUCAUCUUUUUUUUGUGCGUGUUUCUUGCAACGUUUGUUUCAAGGCUGCAGAUUCCAUCGUGGUUGCGUGAUCGUCGGAUCUUCAGCCGACUCCUCUCUCAUCGUUCUUCGCACCUCGCUCUUGCCGUUUGGCCCCUGUGUCCCGGGUAUCCCUCUCCACCUGCCUCCUUGCAUCACCGCCGAUUCUCGCGUCCUCCAUUUCUCUCUGCAUCCGCAGACCGCUUUCUCUUCUCUUGGCCAGUGUGCCGGCGAGCAGGGCUGCUUUUCCUAUUCUUUCUGUGGCGAUUGUUUCGUCUCGGGUACUUUUCGCUAGCGCGCAUUCUUCAUUUCUCUUCACUAACACGCCACCAUCAUCUCCCGGAGAGGGACCCUCGCUAGUCGUUCUCCUCACCGCUUUUCGUUUCCUCCAUUCUGUUGUUGGGCUACUCCGAGCCUUCACCCCUGCACCUCAGCAGGUGUCAUCUCCUCUACUACCAGAGUGUUGAUCUAGAGUUGUGGUCUUGAGCCUGUGAAGCAACAAUGCAGGCCUCAGCAGCGUCGCCAGCGACCGUUUCGACGGAGCCGCUCUUCGCAACAGUCACGUUCAUAGGAGAGGAUAACACGUGGGGCAACACGUUUCGUGUCCCGAUUGGUGCUUCCACAACGGUGCGUCGACUCGCGAAGGACGCGAUGCAGCGCCUCGUGCUCUCACGACGCAACCUGGACGGCUGCAGCAACACACCGGCUAUUGUAGUGACGGAGGUGUAUGUCGGCGGCACUGGCGCGCAGCCUAAGGCGGAGGUAUUCGCGCAGGAUUGCGUGACGCAGGUUGUCUUUGUAAAGGAAGAAGUCAUUUAUAUGAGGCUCAAGGGAAUGAGCGCGUUUGCGGCACCAUCGCGGCUCGCCUCGCCUCCACCGCCGCCGCAGCAGACGAACGGGUCAUCGACGACAUGCGGUGCCAUCGCCGCUUGCAGCGAUCACGCUGCGCAGCCGACUGCCACCGAGACUGCCUCAUCGCUCCUCAAGGAGUCUGCCACGUUGAAGAACGAGGACGAGCUGGUGGCCGAGGUGAAGCGCUCUGCAUCAAAGACGCCCGCGCCGCCGCCGGCAGCAGCGAAGUCUGCAGUGACACAUGCAACGACCCUAAAGGCGAUCAGCGACGGAGCGGCCACCGCCGCGGCACCGACGACGGCAGAGCCGCCGGUGCCGAAGGCUGCGGCGCCGAGGCGUCGACCGGGCUGGGGCCCCGAGGCGCACGAGCUGUUUCCCGAGAACUACAUGUCGACUCCUGGCAAGCGUCCGCGGACGGUGCGAUCCGAGAAAAAGACGACGUUGGCACAGGCAGCGAAGCGCAGCAAGACGGAGUCGAACAACGCCGCUGUCGUCAGUAUGAAGGCAGGAUGGGGGGAGGAGCCGUCAGACAAACGAGUUCCGGCGGAUAAGCACCUAGGGUGGGGCCCCGAGGCGUCCAAGCUCUUUGCAGACAACUACGUCAGCUCCCCAGAGAAGCUUGCACGCCUCCAGCGGUCGCAGAGGCGAGUUAUGAAUGAAUCCGCGGAGAGUGCCGCUCCUGCAGGGGCUGCGGCACUGGCAAAGUCUGCACUCAAGGCACCGGUGUCCCGUACUCUCCAGUACCCGACGGCUGACACCGAGGAGGGCCGCACCACCGUGGGUCACGCCGUGGAUGACGCCAUCGUCGUUGACGAAACCUCACCGACGGUGGAGCUUCCGAAGGGGUGGGGGAGGGAGUCGCUCAAGUUCUUCGACCCGAACACCUACUGCGACGACCCGGCCAAGGCACGCCUGCUGCCGAACAUGGACUACUCGCGCUCGCGCCGCCACCGCCGGCCGGCCGCCCUGUAGUCGCCAUACAACAUCGCACAUAGCGCGCGCGUGAGAGGCGUGCAAAAGCGGUUUUUCAAACCGAUGCGCCGUCUCGACUCCGCUCCUUUUUUUUGCUCUCCGUUCCUGUCGCUGCCUGGGUGUCUGUAUGCACAGGUGCAUGUGCAAGUACGUGCGCGUGUGCCCUCCGCUCUGCAGCGGCUCCGUACAGCAUCCCCGCUGCCGAAAAGUCUUUUUUUUUUCAAACUUCCUAGACUUUUUCUUUGUGCCUCUUGUGUGCGCACUGAUUCCCAAAGUGCGUCCCGUAGCAGCAACACCACCAUCACCGACGACGGAAAGCGCCGCUUGCGCUGGACGAGCGGUCGCCUUCUCAGUUUUGGCGGAAGACGGACCCCUCCUGCAGAGCUGAGAGCGCAGAGCGGGACCGUCGCCGAUGCGUUUGCCUUUCACUCUUGUCCAGUGCAGUUCUUCGUUGGCGGCUGGCCGAUGGGGACCUGAGGGAAGGGGGAGGCGAAAAGGACCAAGCGACCGACAAAGGACGUGGCGGGUAGGGGUCGCGUGCCGGUGGACGUGCGCACGCGCGAGAGUAGACACGGAGCACGCCGGGCUGAAAGGGGCGGGGGUGGGGAGGACGGCAACUGGAUCGCGCCCACCUCUUUCCAACGGACUGCGCAUCCUCUCUCCUCUGCUUUCGCCUUGUCUCGAGAUGAGAGACGAUGUCCACCCUCCCUUCUCUCGCGUGCGACCGCCGCUGGUUUUUCGCAUCCGCUUCCUCUUGCUAUGCUCGGGCUUUGCACUUCCCACUCCUCUUCCCGUGAGCGGUGUCUCCGUCACCGCUCACGCUCCCUCAUCGCCAACGCGCGUCACUCCGGUGCCUUCCUACUCGACUGUUAUGCCGCUUCCCCUCUGUCCCUCGUUUUUUUUCUCCAUCUCCAUCUCCUCUCGCCACACACGCACGCACAG